UAUUUGGGUUGCUGCAAUAAAAUCAAUUUCAGGUGCUUGACUUUGUGUCGAAACAUAAAUAAUUUAUAAAUUCAUAAACAACUGUAAAUUCUUCCAGCAGCUUGAUUCUAAAUAGCAUUUUUGGGCCAGUUUCGCAUUUGUCUUUCCACUAAGGAGAUGAGCAAUUCUCACUCUUCUUGUCGAGGAUAAUGAGGCACUUUGUCCUAAUUUCUUAAAAUUCACAUUUGAAUUGCGUCUCAGAGGACAAUUCAUCAGAAAUGCAAAAACAUUCAAUGUUUUAUGAAUGCCGUUUCAUUUAGUAGUUUCUCCUCCUUUGCAUUGUGCGCGUCUAAUCCAGGAACAUGACCUCAUUUCUGUAGUUUUUAUUCCCUGCGCUUCUUUGCAGCGUUUUCCACAUUUAGAGCGCACCCAAAGCCCAGAGCGCGCAGCUGAACACAAAGAUCUGCAGAAGAAGAAGAAGUGUAUGGAUCAAGUGGUCCGGCCAUGGAAAACGAACAAGAGAUUCUGGUGUUCGGUUCUAUAUAAAAUGUGAACGCUGUCAUACUAAAUCAAUGACUCUCAACUGGUGGGCCACAAACCAAAAAGUGGGCCGAAUUCGUGUUCUGACAGCAGCAGGGGAAAACGAUGUGAACUGAAAAUAACAAAAUGCAACUAAUAAUAAAUAACCCAUCAAGUGUUAUCGAGACUACAGCAGGCCUAUCAUGUGCUGAAUGUGCUUCCUGCUCAGUACAUCAGUGUUUUGCACAGAGUAAAACAGUCGUUUUCUUA